GACGAACGCUGGCGGCGUGCUUAACACAUGCAAGUCGAACGGAAAGGCCCUGCUUUUGUGGGGUGCUCGAGUGGCGAACGGGUGAGUAACCCGUGAGUAACCUGCCCUUGACUUUGGGAUAACUUCAGGAAACUGGGGCUAAUACCGGAUAGGAGCUCCUGCUGCAUGGUGGGGGUUGGAAAGUUUCGGCGGAUGGGGAUGGACGCGCGGCUUAUCAGCUUGUUGGUGGGGUAGUGGCUUACCAAGGCUUUGACGGGUAGCCCGCCUGAGAGGGUGACCGGCCACAAUGGGACUGAGAUACGGCCCAGACUCCUACUGGAGGCAGCAGUGGGGAAUAUUGCACAAUGGGCGGAAGCCUGAGGCAGCAACGCCGCGUGCGGGAUGACGGCCUUCGGGUUGUAAACCGCUUUCGCCUGUGACGAAGCGGGAGUGACGGUAAUGGGUAAAGAAGCACCGGCUAACUACGUG
rnacentral:rRNA from 1 species